CUGUAACUCGAGUUACUUCUGGGGAGCGUUAUGUUUUAAUUGUGUGGGGAAGGUCUUGGCAAGGUAUAAGGUCAAUCUCUUGUCCUUGCUGCUGGCUGAACCGGCGUCAGGAUGAUACCGCUACAUGCAUAUGUGGGCCCAUAUGGAAUUGAACGGGACC
rnacentral:SRP_RNA from 1 species